rnacentral:lncRNA from 1 species
AUAGCCCAUAGUGUUUGGUUGGUAGAUAUGACACUAUGUCCCCCAGAGGGAAAGUAGAAGUUUCUAAUCUAAUCUCAUUGCUCUCAGAUACACUUGGUGACCUUUACUGAAGCUAUGUGGUUUCAUAACAGUAUUGUACAUCAUGAUUGCUGAGGAAAUGUUACAUUUAUGCCUUAACUAUUUGUCUCCACCCUCCUGUAUCCUAUUGACUGUUCCAUAUUCUUCUGGCUAUCAGUUGACUCUGAAUGAACUUACCAUCCAUCUGUCCCAGCACUUCUCUCAAGGGGUGAACGUAGAGGACUCCCUGCACCCCUGUGUAGACACCCCCUGUGCCAACAGGGGCAUCUGCCGCCCCAAACAGGCCUUGUAUUAGUGUGACUAUUAGGGCUUGCAAGUUAAGCAUUUCAUUGUACUUGUGCAUGACAAAUACAACUUGAACUUGACUGCCCCCUGGGGUACACUGACAAGCACUGCCUGCAAGGUGAGACUUCUCACGCUUAUACUUUAUAAUGCAUGAGUAUCAAAGGAGUCUGGUGGGAGGAGCUAUAACAGGACAGGCUAAUUAUAAUGGCUGGAAUGGAAUUAAUCGAAUGGAUCAAUAAUGUGGUUUCCAUAUAUUUCAUGUUUGAUACCGUUCCAUUUAUUCCAUUGCAGCCAUUACAAUGAGUUCGUCCUCCUAUAGCUUAUUCCACCAGCCUCCACUGGUGUGUAUGCUGCAUGCACUCAUCUCUAGUCUACCCACCUCUCGCCCUCUCUCUCUCUCUCUCUCCCGCUCUCUCCUCCCUCUCUUCUUGGCCCAUGGUAUUGCUGAGCAGAAUGUGAGACUUACUGCAUGAACUGUAAAUCUCACUGUGUGUCAUGUUGUUCAGAUGCAUAAUUCUACGAUAUCAUAUUAUAAGAAUGAGCAGGCAUGAAUUGAUAACAGCAUGUGAAAGCAUGUGGCAUUUACUGGUAAUUGGAAGCAUUCUAUUGAUUGUUUUCUGUUGCCUAGUUGCCUACAACUGAAUGAAUCUGUCCAUUGUAAAAGUUGUAGUGUCGUCUAGUGGACAUUGUAGGUAAGGGCAACUUCCCCUUUAUAUCCUCUUGUGACAUAGACCACUGAGAUUGCAGUUUAUUGGAUGAAGGUGACUCAAUUACAACAAGGACAUUUUUAAGAGGUAUGCCCCUUCGAUUUUCCUAUUUCAUUAUGAAUCAACAAGCCUUAUCAGUAGACCCAAAUAAGUCUUAUCUCCUCUACUAUCUCUGUAUCAGGGUGUUUUAAAAUUUUUUAUUUAACCUUUAUUUAACUACGCAAGUUAGUUAAAAACAAAUUCUUAUUUAUAGACUCAUUUAUAGGGGAGACUCAUUAACAGGUGGGACUCAUUUAUAGGGGAGACUCAUUAACAGGUGGGACUCAUUUAUAGGGGAGACUCAUUAACAGGUGGGACUCAUUUAUAGGGGAGACUCAUUAACAGGUGGGACUCAUUUAUAGGGGAGACUCAUUAACAGGUGGGACUCAUUUAUAGGGGAGACUCAUUAACAGGUGGGACUCAUUUAUAGGGGAGACUCAUUAACAGGUGGGACUCAUUUAUAGGGGAGACUCAUUAACAGGUGGGACUCAUUUAUAGGGGAGACUCAUUAACAGGUGGGACUCAUUUAUAGGGAGACUCAUUAACAGGUCAGACCAUUAGUCUGUUAAUUAUUACGCUAAUAUUUACUGUAUGUCAUUGAUGGAACCCAAACAAUUAAGAUGGAUGGUUAACUUGCAAAUAUUGUAUUAUUUCUGGUGUUUUACUGUAAAGAAUGUCCAUUGAUUUGUUAUAUGGAAUUCCCUUAUUAAUAGAAGAGUGAGAUAUGGAACCCCUCUAGAAUGUCUCUGUGCCUGAUACUGAGGUGGGGUGUGGGGGUUUGAGCCAACAGAGACUGUACUUUCUCAUAAAGCUGGGAUCUUUUAAUGUAGACUGUACUAUAUUGACUCUGUUUUACAAAUCUUUUAUUGAGAGUAUUUUAACUUUUUGUAUUGUUUGUUGGUUUGGCAAUGCCACUGUCUGCCAGAGAAAAAUGUUGAGAAGGAUUAUUACCACAGGAAGUAAGGUACUUGGAGUCAAACAGUCGGGCCUGGAUGAGAUCUUUAAGGUCAGGGCCCUCCGUAAGGCUCACAAAAUCAUUUUAGACCCAAGCCACCCCCUGUACCCGGACAUUGAACUACUCCCCUCUGGGCGCAGGUAUAGGGCACCCCUCAGCAGGAAAAACAGAACUAGACAAUAAUUUGUGCCAGGUGUGAUAUCCCUCCUAAGUAGCUCGGGCUAAUGUUCCUAUCGACUCCGUAAGGCCAGCAGGCUAGUCUUUAAAAAAAAAAGGUUUUAUUUCUUUAUUUAUUAUAAUUAUUAUUAUAUAUUUUUUUAUUGGUAUGUAACUGUUAUGAAAGUUGUAUUGUCAAUUUUGUUUUGUAUUUAAACGCCACUUUAAAUGUGUACAUGACACUGCAACAAUAAUUUCCCCAUGGGGACAAUAAAGUCAGUAAGUAAGGAAGUAAGUACUGUAACAUACUGCUAC